AUUGAUGCUGCAAUAACUAAGUAUAUAUAUAUCUGUGACAUUCUUUUUCACAGGUCUGAUCCUUAGCCCRCCGCAGUGCACUGGUAACAGUUAGGACAAUACUUCAAUAUCUAUUAUAUUGAAACAAUUGUAAGUCAGAUUUUAGUGGACAAUACCUGGCGAUUUUCUCUUGGUCCAUUUUUUUUCUUCUGAGACAUUGCGGAUUCAUCGUCAUUAGAGGUAUCGUUCUUGAUCCCUCUUGUAUUGCAUUUGCUGUAUUUCUUUGAGCCUAUUGAUAUUGUGAUAUUAAAAUAUUAGCUAUAUUUUCAUUAGUAUAGCAAAUCUUAAAUUGGCCAGCACACUCUAUAUUCAUGUUAAUGGGUAAAAUAAUUCGAAUGCCUUUGACUUUCUUUGAACAAUAUUGUAUGUAAAAUUUCAGUUUGUUGAAGCCUAACCAAAAUAUAUACUUCCAUUAACUAGUUUGAYAUGUUUUAAAUGUUUUAAAUGAUAUGUUUAGUACUGUACUUUGAAUCAAUUGGUAACCAUGAUCAUCAUCAUGCAUGCAUAACCCCCAACCAUAUAACCAUAACCCCCUACCAUAUGGCCCCCUAUUUAAUGUAAAGUUGUGUUUCAUGUGGUCAAUCGAUCAAAACUCUAUGAAAAGAUUUCUUAAAAUGACUGUUAAAACAGAUUUGAAUAAUUGGAAUAAAAGAAAAAAAAGGUGCACAAUAUAGAGCUUUCUAAACACCCAGUCUGAUAAUGUAAGUGAUAUUUUUAGACAUGGUUUCUAUAAUGUUAUAGUACCACAAAUACUUCUCAGUUAGUAAAUCUCAUAUUAUAUUACUUACCUGAUUGAAGGUCUGCACUGUUAGUGCCUCUAAGAUUCCAAAAUCGGAGACAUCGUCCCACCAAAAAGGGAGUGUUCUACUGCCAGCUUUUUUUAAGAUGCCUGCCUGUGUGCAUUCUAAAAGAAAAGAAUGAACAAGCUUAGAGAGGUGAAAAACAAAUUGUUACUGCCAUAAGCUAUAGCGUGAAGCCAGAGAGAGAGGACAUAACCAGGAGUAACCACCCAAAUACAUCACGACCCAAUUGCAAAAUGUAGAUUUCAUUGUUUGCAAGGUUAAUUUUGGUGACUGACGGUUUCCAAUUUUCCAUAAUUUGUCAAUAAAAAUCCAUUAUAUUAUAUGUCCUUAAAGGGGACUAGCAUGUAAUAUAAAUCUUCCAAAAUUUAAUUCAGCUGAAACCYUAAUGGAAUAAUCUUUACUUUAAGGGUCUGAUAUGUACUGUUUCAUUGCAAUAUAAAGUGUCUGACAAAUGAUCAGAUCAGAUUGUACUAAAAAAAUUGUCAUGUGAUGAAUGUUGUAACAUCCAAAACCACAGGUUUGAUAAUAAAUAAAGGAGAACAAAUAUAUCCUACAAUAUAUUGAUCACAAUA